UACGUAGGGUGCAAGCGUUAAUCGGAAUUACUGGGCGUAAAGCGUGCGCAGGCGGUUGUGCAAGACCGAUGUGAAAUCCCCGGGCUUAACCUGGGAAUGGCAUUGGUGACUGCACGGCUAGAGUGUGUCAGAGGGGGGUAGAAUUCCACGUGUAGCAGUGAAAUGCGUAGAGAUGUGGAGGAAUACCGGUGGCGAAGGCGGCAUCCUGGACCAUUACUGACGCUGAGGCGCGAAAGCUAGGGGAGCAAACGGG
rnacentral:rRNA from 1 species